GUGGCAACACUGGUGAAGAUCUAGUGGCGAACGGGUGCGUAACACGUGAGGAACCUACCCCGAUCUCAGGAAUAACAGUGGGAAACCACUGCUAAUACCGGAUACCUUCCCCGGGUCGCAUGGCUCGGCGAAGAAAGGUUUACCGGAUCGGGACGGCCUCGCGGCCUAUCAGCUUGUUGGCGGGGUAAUGGCCCACCAAGGCGUCGACGGGUAGCUGGUCUGAGAGGAUGAUCAGCCACACUGGGACUGAGACACGGCCCAGACUCCUACGGGAGGCAGCAGUGGGGAAUCUUGCGCAAUGGGCGAAAGCCUGACGCAGCAACGCCGCGUGGGGGAUGAAGGCCCUCGGGUUGUAGACCCCUUUCAGCAGGAACGAAUCUGACGGUACCUGCAGAAGAAGGCCCGGCCAACUACGUGCCAGCAGCCGCGGUAAUACGUAGGGGCCAAGCGUUGUCCGGAUUUAUUGGGCGUAAAGAGCUCGUAGGCGGUUGGGUAAGUCGGGUGUGAAAACUCCAGGCUCAACUUGGAGACGCCACCCGAUACUGCUCUGACUUGAGUUCGGUAGGGGAGUGGGGAAUUCCUGGUGU
rnacentral:rRNA from 1 species